rnacentral:lncRNA from 10 species
AAGAAACCAUCAUAUUGGCUACUCCAGACAGUGGGUCAACCUAGUAGUUUUGACUACCAGGAAUUCUACCUACCAGGAAUUCUACCUAUGAUGCAAGAAUACCAAAAUACUGAUAGUAGUAGAAGUUACAAUGGGAGAAGCCAGCUGCCUGGCCAUGAGCAGCCACCUGGAGAGGCCCGUGACAAGGAACUGAAGCCCCCUGCCAACAGCCAUGUGACUGAACUUGGAAGGACAUUCUCCAGCCCAUUCAUGACUUCAACCUUAACCAACAACUUCACUGUAACCUUGAGAGGCCCUGAGGCAAGAUCACCCAGAUUAUUUUCUUGGGAUAAACUCCCAGAAGUGGGUGUGAGUCAGAGAGUAUGAGUACUUUGCUGGCGCUCUAUAUGUCAUGCCAAAUUGCCUUCCACAAGGAUUGUACCAAUUUUCACUGGCCCCAGAGGUGUUUGAGAAUGCCAGUUGCCAUGCACAGUACUUUGAAGACACAGUACCUAACCCUGGAAUGUUCUGAAACCUUAGCCGCUCCCAUUCUUAGAAGUGGCCACAUGUAUGACUGUGCAUUUUAUCACAGUCCAAUCUAAAAUCCAGACACAUCCCGCAGACAGUUGCUUUGUGAAAGAAUGUACCCACAACUUAAAAUUCUCUGGACUGAGGCUUGUCAUUUUCAUUUUCUGAGAUAACAAAUACUUAUUUGCAUCAUCAUUAUCUUUAAUAGGACCAAUUCAUGAGUAGGCUCAUAAACUCAGUUUCUAGAUGCAAAUUAAUAAAGUCUCUUCAUUCCGGAGAUGAGCAUGACUUAGGAAAAAAAGUCAAAUGUUCAUCCACCUUUCACAUUUCCAGUCUAUGUGUUUCUCUGCCCUGGACUGAAUUGUAUGAAUCUCCCCAAAAUUCCUAUGAGGAAGCCUUAGCCCCCAAUAUGAUGGUGUUAGGGAGUCAGGCCUUUGAGAGGUAAUUAGGUUCAGAUGAGGUCAUGAAGGUGCAGCCCUAACAAUGCAAUUAGUGCCCUUAUAAGCAGGGACAUUAGAAGGCUCUUAUUCUCUCUCUGCCAUGCAAAGACACACUAUCUGCUAGCCAGGGAGAGGGCCCUCAUUGGGAAACAAAUCAGCUGGCACCUUGAUAUUGGACUUCCAAGCCUCUAGAACUGUGAGAAAUAAAUGUGUAUUGUUUAAGCCA